CAUGCAAGUCGAACGAGGAUAUAUCCUUCGGGAUAUAAGCCGAGUGGCGCAAGGGUGAGUAAUGCAUAGAUUACCUGCCUCUAGGAUAAGGACAACUUUGUGAAAACGAAGCUAAUACUUAAUAAUACAAGUGGAAAUAAUUUCCAUUUGUCAAUGGGAGGGUAGCAAUAUCUUUUGCCUGGAGAGGGGUUUAUGUCCUAUCAGCUUGUUGGUGGGGUAAUGGCCCACCAAGGCGAAGGCGGGUAGCCGGUCUUAGAGGAUGGUCGGCCACACUGGGACUGAGACACUGCCCAGACUUCUACGGAAGGCUGCAGUCGAGAAUCUUUCGCAAUGCCCGAAAGGGUGACGAAGCGACGCCGCGUGAGUGAGGAAGGCCUUCGGGUUGUAAAGCUCUGUCAGGAGUUAAGAAAUGUAAAUGUGCUAAUACCACAUUUAUUUGACGAAGGCUCCAAAGGAAGCCACGGCUAACUCUGUGCCAGCAGCCGCGGUAAUACAGAGGUGGCAAGCGUUGUUCGGAAUUAUUGGGCGUAAAGAGCACGUAGGUGGGUUUGUAAGUCAGAUGUGAAAGCCUUCUGUUCAACGGAAGAAUUGCAUCUGAAACUGCGAGUCUUGAGUGUAGGAGGGGAGAAUGGAACUUCUGGUGGAGCGGUGAAAUGCGUAGAUAUCAGAAGGAACGCCGGCGGCGAAAGCGAUUCUCUGGCCUAUUACUGACGCUCAGUGUGCGAAAGCUAGGGGAGCAAACGGGAUUAGAUACCCCGGUAGUCCUAGCCGUAAACGAUGGGCACUAAGUAGAGGGAAUUACCGAUGUUCUCUCUGCCGUAGCUAACGCAUUAAGUGCCCCGCCUGGGGAGUACGGCCGCAAGGCUAAAACUCAAAAGAAUUGACGGGGGCUCGCACAAGCGGUGGAGCAUGUGGCUUAAUUCGAUGCAACGCGAAGAACCUUACCGGGGCUUGACAUGGUAGAAGUAGGAACCCGAAAGGGUAACGAACGGUAUCCAGUCCGUAACUAUCACAGGUGUUGCAUGGCUGUCGUCAGCUCGUGUCGUGAGACGUUGGGUUAAGUCCCCUAACGAGCGAAACCCUUGUUUUUAGUUACCAGCGGGUUGUGCCGGGUACUCUAGAAAGACUGCCGUCGUCAAGACGGAGGAAGGUGGGGAUGACGUCAAGUCAUCAUGGCCCUUAUGCCCCGGGCUGCACACGUGCUACAAUGGUCGGUACAAACGGAAGCGAAGCCGAGAGGUGAAGCGAAUCCUAAAAAGCCGAUCUCAGUUCGGAUUGGAGGCUGAAAUUCGCCUCCAUGAAGUUGGAAUCGCUAGUAAUCGCGGAUCAGCAUUGUCGCGGUGAAUAUGUUCCCGAGCCUUGUACACACCGCCCGUCAAGCCACCCAAGCAGGAUGCACCCGAAAACAUUAUAUCUAACCAGGUUUACCUGGAGGAAAAUGUUGAAGGAGUGUUUUGUGAGGAGGACUAAGUCGUAACAAGGUAGUCGUAGGAGAACCUGCGGCUGGAUCACCUCCUUUCU
rnacentral:rRNA from 1 species